rnacentral:rRNA from 1 species
CCUACGGGUAGCAGCAGUGGGGGAUAUUGCACAAUGGGGGAAAGCCUGAUGCAGCGACGCCGCGUGGGGGAAGAAGUAUUUCGGUAUGUAAAGCCCUAUCAGCAGGGAAGAAAGAAGACGGUACCUGACUAAGAAGCCCCUGCUAACUACGUGCCAGUAGCCGCGGUAAUACGCAGGGGGCGAGCGUUAUCCGGAUUCACUGGGUUUAAAGGGAGCGUAGACGGCCGUGCAAGCCAGGAGUGAAAGCCCGGGGCCCAACCCCGGGACUGCGCUUGGAACUGUGCGGCUCGAGGGCGGGAGGAGCAGGCGGAAGUCCUGGUGUAGCGGUGAAAUGCGUAGAUAUCAGGAGGAACACCGGCGGCGAAGGCGGCCUGCUGGACCGCGACUGACGUUGAUGCUCGAAAGUGUGGGUAUCAAACAGGAUUAGAUACCCGCGUAGUC